AGUACAUCUUUGAUAAACUAAAAACGGAUAUAAAAAAUCGAAUUUAAGAAUUCAUGUGUGUCGCCAAAACAACAAGAAAAAUAGAGACUAUUGCAAUAAAUGACAGGUCGAGUUUUAUGUUUGGAGUUAUUUGGAGGGACUGAGGACAUAUGUUUACAAUAUGAAUUUGUUAAUUCUAUAAUUCAGAACAAUGUUCACAAGAAAGGAACUAUUGAUUUGUUUUGUUUGAUUUUGAAGAAGAUGAGACAUUCAUAAAAAGUAUGAGCUAAUAUUAAAUUGAAAUUGGAGAUCAGCCGAGAACUCAAGAUUUAAAAAACUAUAUAUAUAUAUAUAUAUAUAUAUGAAAUAACAUUUCUUUCUAAUAUAAUUCACAAAACAAUAUGUUCAUACAUUUUUCUUCCAGAUAAACAUGCAAACGGUACCAAUUUCAAAAUACUAUAAUUCGUCUGAUCCUUUGCGAUAUAAUAUUCUAUUCUAUACUGUUACUACACGUACAGUUAGAUGAUUUAAGUUAUUCUGUGCUAUCAAAACUGGUUCCACGUUUUUAGUAGAGAAUCCAGUCGAUGGUCUCAUACCACAUUCGAAUGUUUUCGAUACUGACAGAACUAACAUGUUAUCGCACAUUGUUGUAUUGUUUCUGUGAAUGAGGCGAAAAACUUAAUUCUCAUCUUCGAAAUUAAGUGCCGACUUUUGUCAUCAUUUUCCGCAAAAUAAAGUUGAUCCCAGUGUUCAAUAACACUGUAUUUUCUCACUUUCGAAUUUGGUCAGAUUCUUUUAAUCAUAUGCAUUUGCUUUGCAGAUGAAUGUUUUUUAUUGAUUAAUUGAACAGUUUUUCCUAUUUAUUAUAUUUUAUGAUAAAUUUGAGUUCAAACUUG